CGCAGGAAAACGCCAGUUUGGUUGGAGGUGCCUGCGCAGAAUACUGCGACGCUGCUAGAAUUCGUAACGCGAUUUUCAUUAAGAUUCUUCAGAAGUCGACAUCAUGAUAUAUCCCAUACAGCUCGUCAACUCAGAAGCUGGCUAAGUUCAGCUUUGUAUUUCCUCGCCGAACUGAGAUACAUCAACGUCUUAUUCUUCAUAGUGAACAUCUGUGUUCUCGCCCGCAAACUUCAUCAGUGCUGGUUUUCACCAAAUUCUGAUCGUCCAAGGACCGAGCGUGAUGACAUCACGUGCUUCCUUUCAAAACUGCUGGACCAAUGCCGUCCGAUGCUUCGCCAUCACUUGGAGUCACUCUCUCCAAGCUUUGCUGUCAAUCUGGAUGGAAUCAUCUGCAAAAAUGUGGUUGUCAGCGGGCUUUCUGAGUGUCAGAUUAACCAUGUCCUCGUAUCACAGCCACACACCAAGCUUGACCGAUAUGUCGGUACAAAUGUCGCCUUAUCCAUCUCAUGGCCCCGUAUCACGUGCAAGUGCAAAGUGCGAAUGGAGGGCACGAGUUGGUACUUUCCGCAGUUUGUUGCCGACAUUAUUUCAGCUACGGUUAAUGUGUCCAUGGAGCAUGUGAACUGUGAGAUUGACGUUCCGCUGUACGGUACUCUCUGGGAGAAAGGAAGCAGUUCGUUUUAUGUAGGAGGCAAGGAGUUGAACGUUACGAUUAACCGGCCAUUUAUUAGUGUUUCGACAUGUUUUGACGGCGCCGUGGGUGCCAUAAACAUAGGCAACUGGGCUGGCAAGUAUGCCGAAUCCUGUGUUAGAAGUAGCUGGGACAGAUCAUCUAAGAAAAUCGCUGAAUUGGUAAAAAAUGAGCUGAGCAGGAUUCUUUCGGCAGAAUUUUCUGUGAACCUGGAUCAGCUUUUGCAGACCCCUCUUGCCGUGCUGCUGGGUUCAUUCAGACCAAAAUGGGGUGAAGGCGCUCCCUAUAUGUGGUUUCAGAGGCCAGACGAGGUGACCCCUUUCCAGGUCAUGUCACACUCAGUCAGGAAUGCUUGGCAUUCAAUGACGCUGUCAUUUUGGAAUUGGUGUGUUCGGGUUUACAUACUAUUCAUUUUCUGGUUUUAUCGGUGGUGAAAUACGUCGGUAUAUAUGUACACUGUACAAAGGAAGAUAGGUGCAAUAGCCGUUUUCACGACGGCCAUCUGGUACACAUUUGGUGCACAUCUGGUACAGAUUAGGUGCAGAUUUAGUCAAAUCUGGUUCUGAGUGUGUCUCUUAGUAGCUAUCAGCUAGGGUUGCACUAAUUGCUUAUAUGUCUGCUUUGUCACAUUAUCAGAGAGCAUAAUCGAAAUAAACUCAUAAACACUGAAAUAAAUUCAUAAAAUGAAGAUAUUUGCUGUAAAAGAGAUUAGGUGCAGAUUUGGUCAAAUUAGGUGCACUCGCCGGGUAGCCCGUCAUGAAAACGGCUAAUUUCACCUACCUAUAUUUUCUCUGAGUUAACUGGACGUAGCCACUCAUCUAUCGGAGUCGCCGAAGGCUGUGUGCAAUUGACAGUGAAGUGACUUUUGACUCGUACUAUAGGUUUAGCUGAGAGUCGGAUGCAUUACUGACUGAAUGUGUCGCUUUAUUAUCAGUUGCUGCGUUUGUUGGUCGUGUGUGGGGAUGAAUAAAUAAAACACAGUGGAUGCUGGAAUAAGA